rnacentral:lncRNA from 1 species
GCGAUUGCGACCUGGAUAGCUGGAUUUUCCCAACAAUUGGUGACGGACUCAAUAAUUGGAAGGCUGAAGACACUAUCCCGAUUUCCUUUAGUCAGGAGUAAUUGUUAUUGUCUAUUUUAGUGUUGCAAAUUUUUUUUUUUUUUUUUUACAAUUGAACUUCUCCAAGCGUUGUGUCUAUGCCCGGGGCACAAUAGCUAAUUUGUUAAGGGUUUUGUCAUCUUCAUAAGCAUAUUCAUAUUCAAUAAAUC